rnacentral:rRNA from 1 species
CCUGCUCAAUGUAGUAUUAUAAAUAGCUGCGGUAUCCUAACUGCACUAAGGUAGCAUAAUUAAUUGUCUUUUAAAUGGUGACUUGUUUGAAUGGUUUAAUGAGAAAAGGAUUUUGUUUGGUCCAAAAAGAAUUUAUAUUUUAGGGUUAAAAUACCUAAAUUGUAAAGAAAGACGAGAAGACCCUGUUGAGUUUUACAUUUAUAUGUUAAAUGUUUAAAUGGGAAAUUUAAUUCCUUUAUGGAAUUUAAUAGAUCCUAAAAAAGUUUGGAAAAAGGAUAAAAUUACCACAGGGAUAACAGGACUAUAUUUUCUGAGAGUUCUAAUUGAAGAAAGUGUUUGUUACCUCGAUGUUGAAUCGAAAUAACUUUUUGGUGCAGUAGUCAAAUAAGUAG